GGGAGCUUCUUUCUGAUCAUGCAAUGAUUGAUUGCAACUGAAACUCUGAUGGAGAAUUAACUGUAAUUCUUUGCAGAGGGGAAGCAAACUACUAUUGAUGGUAUAUGUUGCUAUGGCUAAGGAUCACUCAUCCUGACAGGUCUGAGGAGACAAAAAUAAUUUGAUUCAUCAAUAAAGAAAUCACAAGAGAACACCGUUCAAUUUUGAUCUGUUACUGGUCUCAUGUUGGUACCAUCAGUUAUACCUUGGACAGCUAGACUCUCAGGAAGAAGCCCAAGGAGAGGGAAGCUGGAAACACUUCAGUGGCAAGCUGUGCAGGUCAGACUUGCAAGAAGUGAUACUAGAGGUGGUAAGUUGGAUUAGUUGGCAAAGAUUACAAAAGGGGGUAAAACAUACAUAAGAAUUCAAUGAGCUACAUGGAUAUCGUUUGUGUAUGUUCCUAUCAAGUGUGGAUCAUAACUAUUUGCUGUGGAGCAGGCAAUGAUCAGUCUGCUCCAAUAUAUGUCUUAAGAACAAGCUCUUGCUGAAACUGCGCUGGGAUAUUAGUUAAUUAUUAUAAUAGCCAAAAAUAGUUAUUUGACUUAUCAUUUGUCAGGGGUAUACAACAGGUUAUUAUAUCUACAUUAUUUUCAACUGCUACACUGUCUUUAAGAACACUGGAGAACAGAGUUACUUCUGGUACACUUCCAUUGGACUGGAUCCUAAGUCUGCCAUAAAGGAAUGUCAACAGUGGAGCUUCAGUAGGAAGCUCCUCUUGUUGUACCAGUUUUCUUGGAGUUUCCCUAGUGAAACAAUGAAGUUGGGUUUAAAUAGAGCAUGAACUACAUUAUUAAUAAACAAAUGAUACUUUCAUAAUUAAAA